GGAUAGUUUCAGGUUUAUUGCAGGCACGGCGGGUCGGUUAUGAAGCAACACACUGAUACAUCGUGUGUAUCGUAUCACGUGUACGUCAUCGAUAUCACACUGUGCAAACUGUAGAACACACACAUGGAUAUUUGGUGAGGAAGAGGAGGAAGAGAAGGAGCUUCACUGACCUCACUGUUAAAACGGGCCGACACCGGAGCCUCUCUCCACCCGAUACGCAUCUGUGUACAUGUACUGGGUAUAAAUACGCGUACCGGGUACAGAUGCUGUGUGAACUAAGACGGCCUGAGGUCACGGGUUUGAUUCCCGGUUCACUGGUUUCCCAUUUUAACCAGUGGUUCACAAACCUUUGGCCAAAGCAUAAGAGACUUUUCUACUUUCCUCAAAAAUACUCAUUUUUCAAAUCUAACCUUUGACCUUCAAGGCUUUGUCCUUGUUUGCGUUUGGGGGAUGAUGAAACACUGAGUUCUCACAAUGAGGUAAACAAAUGUGGGCAACAGAACAUUUUUAUCAUAUAUUUUGACAAAUUGGUGGAUGUAUUGAAUUUACUCUGAUACUGAACUAAAGAUACCCUUUCACAAUAAAGCAGCAUUUAACUUGUAUAAAUGUAUAAAAGCCACACACACCCGUAUGAAAACAUGUCGGACGAUGAAUCAAACGCACCUCAUUGAGCUCAGAUUGAUGUGUCACCGGGUUUGUUUCAUUUCAACGCCCUCUGGUUUGACCCCCCCCUUUCUAAAAACACUCCCUGCGGGUGCUAAUUUUAAAGUGCUGCUCCUCACAUGCAAGAUGACAUCGUCAGGCUCCACUUCCCCAAAUGAGACGCAUCGCCGCUUAGAUGCUGCCAGCGUUUCCCCUCCGGUGAUCCGUUUACACACAAAGAACUCUGAACUUCCUGCAGACGGAAAGUGAGUAGAGACCUCAGGACGAGGCUGCGUGUUCAGCAGAGACGCUCAUAGUUAUUACUGCAUUCGUCACCGAGGGGAUGUACACAGCUCGCUGUGUGCAGACGUAUCGGCACAAAACCACAAGGAGGCACUCGUAGUAGCCGUGAGGUACUCAGAUAUACUCGUAGUAGCCGUGACGUACUCAGAUAUACUCGUAGUAGCCGUGAGGUACUCAGAUAUACUCGUAGUAGCCGUGAGGUACUCAGAUAUACUCGUAGUAGCCGUGAGGUACUCAGAUAUACUCGUAGUAGCCGUGAGGUACUCAGAUAUACUCGUAGUAGCCGUGAGGUACUCAGAUAUACUCGUAGUAGCCGUGAGGUACUCAGAUAUACUCGUAGUAGCCGUGAGGUACUCAGAUAUACUCGUAGUAGCCGUGAGGUACUCAGAUGUACUCGUAGUAGCCGUGAGGUACUCAGAUAUACUCGUAGUAGCCGUGAGGUACUCAGCAGGUAGUUAUGUUUCCAUUAGGCAAAUGAACAGUAACAGUGAACAAGCUGCUUUCUGCUUAGCGUGGGCACAGAGCGGGGGGGGGUUCGAGAGGGCAACUACCCAGUGGGGGUAUUAAGCAACAGGUACCCGGAGUCUGAGGGGUUUGCUGCAGUAGAAUGAGCGUUUCUUACAGUCCAAUAACUUAUUUGACUAAACACGAGGAGGGAAUCUCAGCAGCAAAGUUCACAAAGUCUUUCGUUUUUUUCUCCUCUUCAGCCAAUCAGCGAUCGUAGCGCCGCCACCAUCGCGAGCCCCGCGCUCAGCCCCGCCCACGAGGGUCCGGUGUUGGCCCCGCCUCCGUCCAGGCGCAGAGUGUUGUUGCAGGGUGGGGUUAGGUUUGCCGAGGUGGGGCGGAGCGGGACCCCGCCGGCGGUGGCGGGGACGCGGCGUAACAGGAAGUCGUGUUUCAUGGCAGAGUAGCGAUCGGGGCCGUACGGCACGCUCAGCGUCUCCGUCAAAACCUCGUGACCCGGGUACGUCACCUGUCAAUCAGAAGAGUCGGACUGUGACACACUGCACGGCGGUACCGCUGCAGAAACACCAGUUAUUGCUACUAUGCUAAGCUAGUUAGCU
ensembl:lncRNA